AUUCACUGCCAGUCCAUAAGCCACAGCCCCUCGCAGGCCACCGUAGCCCAUAAUUAUCUGGUCAACGAAACUUAUCGGGACGAGUCGGUACCUGUUCAGGAUCCAGACACAACGAAGGCCAGAAACUCACCGAUGAAUCUGUAGAUGAGGAUGAAGAGCAGCGUGAGGAGGAUGAAGCCCGUGUUCCAGACCCAGAUGGCCUUAUCGAUGGCGGAGAUGCCGAGGAAAACAAAGAUGAUGGUUUCCGAGCCGUUGGCGAAGACCUUCAUGGCGUAACGGACAGUUUGGAUGGAUUUUUCGUCCAUGUUGGAGUUCAUGUACUUCUGGCAGCAAAUGCCGCAGAAAACGACCCUUCGGCACAAAAACCAAAACUCCUUAGCUUCACGUCCAUGGUGCUGAUUGAUCUAUAAAACAGAUUUCUCACGAGAGGAUGGAUGACAGUGACAGCAUCUCGGCGGUGAGGUAGGCCAAGUAUCCCAGGACGAAGAUGAAGCCCGGCUCAAUGAUCUGGAUGUUCUUGGUGCAUCUGCUCAACAGAGACAUCAGCAGGCCGAACACAAAGCCCAGCAGGGAACCGCCGAACGCCACCACAAAGAAGGAAACUGUUGAGAAAAAUAGACGACAUUCAGGAUAUCCCAAAUCACCAGAUCAGAUUGUUCCCAGAUAAAAACUCAUUAAAUGUCUCACCUAUUCCCUUGA